AACAGGUUUAAUUUUUAUUCAUUUUCAAAACUAUAAAUACAUAUCUGCCCUAUAUUUGCAUUUUAUAAGACAUAGGAACAGUUGUGAAAUCAAACUGGAAAUACUAAGACUUCAAAGGGCCCCAAAACCUGUAAAUUAUAAUAUUAAGGAGCUGGAAUCAUCAAAAAUUCCAUCAUAAACUGAAUUCACCUACUGAUAUACUAAGACAAGUGGGAGAAUUAACAUUGAUUUGGGACCAUAAGGUUAAGGGAGUGAAACAAACAGCCCUAGUUUAACAGCCAAUUUACUAAGUUACAUAUUUAUCCAUGCAGACAGAGUCAGGCUAAACAGCAGGUUCCCCAAAAUCUGAUGGCAACGUGAACAUGGCAGGCAAAAGCCAUUCCUUGCCCUAAGAAAGCCGGGUUUUCUCAGUCAGGACCUACGUGCCCUUCCAACACCCCCUUCAGAUCCUCUCCUCUUUCUAUGAAAGAUUUGAGGGGCAACAGAGGGCUCCAGAAUUUAACUUGGAUCCCACUAGAAAUAAGUUUAGUGAUUUUUAAGUUUCCAAGCUAGACUCCUAAAGUCUUUUUAUCCUAGAUCAUAAGUAGAGUACUUCUAAAUAUUCCCUGUGGAAAGAUACAAUCUGAGUUCCAAGUAAACAUUUUAGAAAAAUAACAUUUGCCAUCAAUCUAUUCUUAAACCAGAAAGAGCUCUACAAUCUAUUUUUCCUCAUCAACCUCCCUUGUUCGGUUUCUCUUUUAAUAUAAUAAAGUCCAAAAUUUGUCGUACGUAGGCAGUUGUUCUUGGAUUGGGGCUCACUUAGUAGACUUUUGCAGGGCAGCAUUUCACCUGCAGACUGAGUCUGAACCACCACAGGAAUGUCCACGGUGACAUCACCACGGCAGUGAUGGAAGCAUCCAUUAUUACCACCCUGAUGCCAGCAUAAAGCACAGGUUAGAGAGGCUAUGGAUGUAGGGAGGGAGGUUGUUGGAUGUGCCUCCCCUGCAGGUAUUUGAAUACAAGACAAUGAAGGCCUGAAACAAAGGACUGGGAUUUGGGGCAAGGACAUGUUUGUUGGCAACUAGUGGAGUUCUUCAAAGGGACUGUAAUGGCUGAGCCCAAAGCAGAGAGAUACACUUGUCUACCAUUUGGCACCUCAAGUUUAUAACCUUGUGGGAUGAAUACACUAGCAUGUGCCUGUGAGCCCCAUCCUUGAGGGGCAAAGGAGAGCUCAGUAUCUUAUUUCUUUAUUAUCGUCAUCCAGACUAAUUUCAAGAUAUCCAAGCUCUUCUUGCAACAUAACCCUCAUGUCUUGCUAUAUCACUAACUAAAAGACCCAAGUGUCAACUAUAAAGAUUUUUGUUGCUUGAGCUCAUUUCUGAAAAUGUACAGUAAGCCAGUAUCUUAUCCUUGAUAAAAAUAUUCCCUCCAUGAUGGGAACAUUAAUUUUAUGUGGCAAUUUGGCUGGGCCAUAGUUCCAGAUAUGUAGCUAAACAUUAUUCUGGACAUUUCUGUGAAUAAAUUUCUAUAUGAAGUCAAUAUUUAAAUCAAUGGAUUUUUAGUAAAAUAGAUUGCCUUCCAAAACAUGAGGGAGCCUUCUCCAAUCAGUCAAAGCCCUGAACAGAAUUUUAAAAAAGGCUGACGUCCCCAAGCAAGAGGG
ensembl:lncRNA